rnacentral:lncRNA from 1 species
CAACCCUUUUCUGAGAUAUGCGAAGACAGCUCAAGAGAAGGAAUUUACGCUGAAACAUAUUUAGAGUUGUAUUUUGUGCUGUUGACCCAAUUCUUCCACUACAGUCUACAAGUUAAUCUGGAUUUGACCUGGACCUACUUUUUUUUCCCUCUGAAAGUGAAAAAUUGAAUACAGCAGCCAACUUUCUCAGUCUUGAGGAAAUUUGUUCAAUCUAGAUCAUGGGAAGACCUUUGUUUUUGUAUAUAUUUUUAUUCUACUGGCGUUUCCUAAAUGGU